CACGUAGGGGGCAAGCGUUGUCCGGAAUCAUUGGGCGUAAAGGGCGCGUAGGCGGCUCGGCACGUCCGUUGUGAAAUCGCCCGGCUCAACUGGGCGGGGUCGGCGGAUACGGCCGAGCUGGAGCAAGCUAGGGGGCAAUGGAAUUCCCGGUGUAGUGGUGGAAUGCGUAGAGUAUCGGGAGGAACACCAGUGGCGAAGGCGGUUGCCUGAGCUUUGCUGACGCUGAUGCGCGAAAGCGUGGGAGCGAGUCGG
rnacentral:rRNA from 1 species